rnacentral:rRNA from 1 species
UACGUAGGGGGCUAGCGUUGUCCGGAAUCAUUGGGCGUAAAGAGCGCGCAGGCGGUCGUUCAAGUCGCGUGUGAAAGCCCCCGGCUCAACUGGGGAGGGUCACGCGAUACUGAUCGACUCGAAGGCAGGAGAGGGUAGUGGAAUUCCCGGUGUAGUGGUGAAAUGCGUAGAUAUCGGGAGGAACACCAGUGGCGAAGGCGACUACCUGGCCUGUUUCUUGACGCUGAGGCGCGAAAGCUAGGGGAGCAAACGGG